UACGUAGGGUGCAAGCGUUGUCCGGAAUUAUUGGGCGUAAAGAGCUCGUAGGCGGUUUGUCGCGUCUGCUGUGAAAAUCCGGGGCUCAACCCCGGACUUGCAAUGGGUACGGGCAGACUAGAGUGUGGUAGGGGAGACUGGAAUUCCUGGUGUAGCGGUGAAAUGCGCAGAUAUCAGGAGGAACACCGAUGGCGAAGGCAGGUCUCUGGGCCACUACUGACGCUGAGAAGCGAAAGCAUGGGGAGCGAACAGG
rnacentral:rRNA from 1 species